AGCCUGAUCCAGCCACGCCGCGUGAGUGAUGAAGGCCUUCGGGUUGUAAAGCUCUGUGGGUAGGGGACGAAAACGGUACCGGAAGAAACGACGGAUCCUUGACGGUACCUACUUAGCAAGCACCGGCUAACUCUGUGCCAGCAGCCGCGGUAAUACAGAGGGUGCGAGCGUUAAUCGGAAUUACUGGGCGUAAAGCGCGCGUAGGUGGUUAAGUAAGCGAUCUGUGAAAGCCCCGGGCUUAACCUGGGAACUGCAGGUCGAACUGCUUGGCUAGAGUAUGGUAGAGGGGUGUGGAAUUUCCUGUGUAGCGGUGAAAUGCGUAGAUAUAGGAAGGAACAUCAGUGGCGAAGGCGACACCCUGGACCGAUACUGACACUGAGGCGCGAAAGCGUGGGUAGCGAACA
rnacentral:rRNA from 1 species